rnacentral:rRNA from 1 species
AAUAGAUACCCGGGUAGUCCACGCCGUAAACGAUGCACACUAGAUCGGAGUGAGUCUGACCUCUUUCCGGUCGAAACGAAAGCGUUAAGUGUGCCGCCUGGGGAGUACGGUCGCAAGGCUAAAACUCAAAGGAAUUGACGGGGGCUCACACAAGCGGUGGAGCAUGUUGCUUAAUUCGAGGCAACGCGAAGAACCUUACCUGGGUUUGACAUGCACGGAUUAACUCUGUGAAAGCAGAGCCACGCCCGCAAGGGUGGAACGUGCACAGGUGCUGCAUGGCUGUCGUCAGCUCGUGCUGUGAAGUGUCGGGUUAAGUCCCUUAACGAGCGCAACCCCUAUCGUUAGUUACUAACGCGUCAUGGCGAGGACUCUAACGAGACUGCCGGUGUCAAACCGGAGGAAGGUGGGGAUGACGUCAAGUCCUCAUGGCCCUUACGCCCAGGGAUGCAAACGUGCUACAAUGGCGCGUACAGAGCGAUGCUAACCUGCGAAGGUAUGCAAAUCGCAAAAAGCGCGCCCAGUUCGG